rnacentral:lncRNA from 1 species
UUUUCUCUUCAUAUGGCCGGCCAUAGUAAGAACAAAGAGAGGAAAGGAAGAACACAAAACCUAGGUGGGAAAAUUGAAGAAAAAGUGUGGGAUUUCAAGGAAUCAAGCAAUCAAAGGUAAAAUUUCUUGAUUUUGACUUGUGAUCUACCUUUCCCAUGCAUUUCUCCUUAUUUUCCAUGGUUAAAUUUCAUGUUUUCAUGGUGAAUUCAUGGCUGACUGAAUGGGUAUAGAGAGAGAAUGAAGUUGGAUUGAUUUGAUUCUAAGUUAUGUUAGUGUUUUUAAUUAGUUUAUCAUGCCUAGAAACAAAACAACAAGAAAAGAAUUCAUUUUCCCCAUCACCCAUCAAUGGUCAAAUUUUCUAGGGAGAAUAUUGUGGCUAAAUUUGAUGAUAUUUCAUGAUAUUUUGGUGAUAUUUGAUGUUUGGUGAGGCUAGAAAUUAAAUGGGAAAUUUUGGUGUGAAAAUCUGAAUUUUUGCUCAACGUAUAGACAUGUGUAAUUAUUGACUCAGGACUGAUAAAUUGAACCUCAUUCACAGUCACUGAGGUAAGUUAGGUAUAAUUGGAGUGUAGAAAGUGAGAAGAAUUGAUUUGGAGUUAAAUUAGAGAUUUUAGCUGAUUAGACCGUGUAAAGCCCGACCUUAUAAAAUACUAGUCAUGACAUACAUGUGAUGAUAGCAUGAUUACAUGCUAGGAGAGUCCUGAAAAAUUUACAAAAGUCGGUAUUGUACCUAGAGGUACAACAAAGUUGAUUUAAUCCUCGAACUAGAUCAAAUAGGAAUUUUAAGGUGAGAUUAAGAUCGUCACAAACCAAGGAUGACUCAAAAUGGUAAUUUGGAGUUUGACGAUCAAUUUGGAGUUGAAUCGGAAUUUUCACUAUCCAGGGGUAAAAUGGUCAUUUGCCAUAUGGGGACAAAAUGGUCAUUUUUAGAAAAGAUUUAUUUGGCCCCAUUUGACUUAUUGGAGUAUGAUUUGAGGUUUAGAAGUGAAAAAAUUUUGAUUUCAGUAUAAUUUGGAGUAUAGGGGUAAAAUGGUAAUUUUACCGUUCUAGGGGCAAAAUUGUAAUUUUCCACCACUAGGACAAUUUUCCAGCAUAUGGUCUUCCUUUAUCCUCAUUUUUGACCAUUGACUACUCAUGUGGUGGAGAUAAAAUGUUUAAAUUUUUAAAAUUUUAAAAAUGGACCAAUAAGAAAAUGCCAUGUGUCAAGCUUAGGAUAAUUUAUUAUUUAACUUAAAAAUCAGCAUAAAUCAGCCCAUUACUCUCCAAAUAUUCGGCCAAGCAAGGAAGAGAGGGAAAGAAAGGAAGAACAAACCCUAGGUGAGGAAUUUCAAGAGAAAAAGUGUGGAAAAUCAAGGAAAACAAGUGAAAAAGGUAGGAUUUUUCAACUUAAGCUUGAAAUCUAUUUUCCUUAAGCAUUUCUCCUUAUUUUCCAUGCUUAAAUUACAUGUUUUCAUGAUGAAUUGUUGGCUGAUCAAAAUGGGUUAGGAGAGAGAAAGUUGUUGGAUUGAUUUGAUUUUAAGUUAUGUUAGUGUUUUUAGUUAGUUUAGCAUAUUUAGAAACAAACCAACAAGAAAAGAAUUUAUUUUCUCCCACAACCAUUAAUGGCUGAAUUUACCAUGUAUUCAGUGAGGAUGAGUUUGAUUUUUAUUCUAGGUGAAUUGGUUAAGAAAUGAUGAAUUAUGGUGUAGAAAAGUAGUAGGAAAAAUCAUGGUGUUAAUGCACCAUUAUUGGUCGAAAAUUUUAAGAAGAAAAGUGAAGAUAGUUUUGCCAAAUUUUAGGUUAUUUGAUUUGAAUUUGGUGAAUUAAGAUAUUGGAAAAGAAUUGGAACAAUUUGGAGUAAUUUGGGAUUAAAUUGGACGCGUUAGUAAUUUAAUCGGGUGAUAAGAUGAAUUAGGCCAAUACCGGGUUUAGAUAGUUACUAGUGCAUUUGUGCAUUCCAUAUCAUGCAUUAGUAGUCUAAAUUAGUUUAAUUUCAAUUUAGUACCAAUGUAGUGAGUUUCUCGAUUUUGUACUACGUCAAGGUGGUGAGUCCUCCGAUAAAGGUAAGGGAAUUGCAUCCGAGGACCAGUAGUCUGAGUAUUUCGAGAAUCGGCACUCUAGAUAGUGUGAGUAAACUUACUGUCAUUUUAAUUAUCUAGGGUGAUUUUUAGAUGAUUUCAUUAAUUUUAUGGAAAAAUGGAUUUAAAAAGGUAAAUUUUCAUGUUUUAUGAAUAAAGGUGUUCCAAUGAAAUUAAAUUAUAAAUUGUUUUGAAAUUAAUAGUGAUUUUGAAAAAUAGAGUACACGGAGACUGUUAAUUGUGGCAAUUUGAUUGUUUAAAUUGAUUGGCUUAUGAUAAAUCGGGCAUGAUUAGCUAAUUGGCAAUUGUAUUGAAAUACGAAUUGUUUGGUUGCCUUGAAAGACUGCGAAUUACAAAAUUACCAUAUCAUGUUAUUGACUUUUAUUAUAUGGUGGAUUAUAUAUAUUAAUUAAUCACUACAGUAGGGGGUUUUUGUGGACCAGGCUUUUAGAGGGGCACGGUAAACCCCAUUAUAUUCUUACCUUGAACGGAGAGGCGCGUAGGGUAUCUCCUAGGGUAAAGCUUAGGGUUCACUUCACGCCAAACCACCACGUGAGGGGGAAUUCAGCCAACGUCAAGGAAUGGCUAUGUUUUCAAAACAAAAACAUGAUUUAUGUGAAAUGUGAAUUUUAAUAGCCUUGGCGGUCUAGGUGGGAUGCCUCGGCCAAGAUGUCCCUGAAAAUGGAUUUAUGGCAUAAGCCUAGUUUUUAUGAGAUUCAUAAGCCUCUUUACUUAUUUUGAACAAAAUGUGUUCUAAUGCUAUAACCCAGUUUAUGAUGAUUUACUUUAUUGUCUCCAUGUACUCAACUCUAGAUGUUUAUGAUGAUGUCUGUUUACUCAUUGGGAUUUUAUAAUCUCACCACCCUCCUUUCCAUCCAUUUCAAGUUCAGUAUAGACUGUAGAUAGCUGAUCUCAUCGAGGACUACCGUUGGAUCUGCAUUUUUCCAAACCGUAGGUUCACAAUCCUCUUUACUUUUGUUUAUUCGGGGGCCCUCUUGUUAUUGUAAAUUAAAUUAAAUAUUUUGGCUUAUUGUAUUAUAGUAUGUAUAAAUUUAUUUAGCUUUUACGCUAUAAAAAUUAUUCAUGUAUAACUCUAUAAAUAUUGUUUUAUAAGAAAAUAGAAUAUUUUACUUAAUAUUUCUUUUAUUUUCUUAUUAUAUUCAAAUAACCAUAAUUUCAUUUUAAAUGAAGAUUUUAGACUUUUAAACUCAUUUUGAAUAUGAAUUAUGUGUUUUGUACUUGUAUAUUAUAUUUUAGCCAAUUUCAAAAUUUUUGAGAAAAAUGACCAAAAUACCCCUGUGAGACAAAAAAAUUAAUAUUUUUUUUGUUUUAAGUUGGAAAUAGCUUAAAAUCUUUUAGAACACGAUAUUUGACAAUGGUUGCUCACAAGGGAAAUGAUAAACUGAUAGUAAAGCUUUGCGGGGUUUCGGGUUGACAUUUCGGGCAAUGAGUGUUACCGGGACACUGCGACGGUUGUCACGAGCUUGAGGGGAGUAUCGGUUCAUGACAGACCGAGUAUAGUGUGACUUAGGUUGAAUAUUACAUUUAAGCGAUUAAUCGGACAUUUUGCACUCCAUAUCAUGCAUUAGUAGUCUAAAUUAGUUUAAUUUUAAUUUAGUAUAAUAUGGUCAAUUUCUCGAUUUUGUACUGUGUCAAGGUGGUGAGUCCUCCGAUAAAGGCAAGGAAAUUGCAUCCGAGGACCAGUAGACAGAGUACUUCGAAAGUCUGCAUUCUAGACAUUGUGAGUAAACUUAUUGUCAUUUUAAUUGUCUAGGGUGGUUUUUAGAUGAUUUCAUGAAUUCUAUGGAAAAAGGGAUUUAAAAAGGAAAAUUUUCAUGUUUUAUGAAUAAAUGUGUUUUAAUGAAAUUAAUUUAUAAAUUGUUUUGAAAUUAAUAAUGACUUUGAAAAAUAGAGUACAUGGAGACUGUUAUUUGUUGCAAUUUGAUUGUUUUAAUUGAUUGGCUUAUGAUAAAUUGGCAUGAUUGGCUGGUUGGCAAUUGUAUUGAAAUACGAAUUGUUUGGUUGCCUUGAAAGGCUGCGGAUUACAAAAAUUGCCAUAUAAUGUUAUUGAAUUUUAUUGUAUGGUGGAUUAUAUAUAUAUUAAUUAAUCAUUGCAAUAGAGGGUUUCCAUGGACCAACCUUUUAGAGAGGCACGGUAAACCCCAUUAUAUUCUUACCUCGAACGGAGAGGUGCGUAGGGUAUUUCCUGGGGUAAAGUUUAGGGUUCACUUCACGCUAAACCACCACGUGAAGGAGAACUCAGCCAACGCCAAGGAACGGCUGUAAUUUCUAACAAAAAAUGUGUUUUAUGCAAAAUGUGAAUUUUUAACAGCCUUCGCGGUCUCAGUAGGAUGCCUCGGCCAAGGUGUCCCCAAGGAUGGAUUUACGGCAUAAGCCUAGUUUUUAUGAGAUUCAUAAGCCUUGUUACGUAUUUUGAAUGAAAUGUGUUCUAAUACUGUGACCUAGUUUACGAUGAUUUAUUUUAUUGUCUCCAUGUACUCAACUCUAGAUGUUUAUGAUGAUGUCUGUUUAGUCACUGGGAUUUUAUAAUCUCACCACCCUCUUUUCCUUUCAUUUCAGGCUCAAAAUAGACUGUAGAUAGCUGAUCUCAUCGAGGACUACCGUUGGAUUUGCAUUUUCCAAACUGUAGGUUCAUAGUCCUCUUUACUUUUGUUUAUUCGAGGGCCCACUUGUUAUUGUAAAUUAAAUUUCGUACUCUAGUUAUAUGUACUAUUGUAUAUCGAAAUUUAUUUAACUUUUAUGCUACAAAAA